UACAGAGGUGGCAAGCGUUGUUCGGAAUUACUGGGCGUAAAGCGUGCGCAGGCGGUUGUGCAAGACAGAUGUGAAAUCCCCGGGCUUAACCUGGGAACUGCAUUUGUGACUGCACAGCUGGAGUGCGGCAGAGGGGGAUGGAAUUCCGCGUGUAGCAGUGAAAUGCGUAGAGAUGUGGAGGAAUACCGAUGGCGAAGGCAGCCUCCUGGGCCAACACUGACGCUCAUGCACGAAAGCGUGGGGAGCAAACAGG
rnacentral:rRNA from 1 species